rnacentral:rRNA from 1 species
UGGGGUCAAGCAGCCCCCCAUGGCUCCUUAAUGCGGGCCCUCUUCUGGAACAUCCGCGGCUUCGGCCAUGAUGGCCGUCGCCGCCAGUUAGUGGAGUACAUGCGGGAUGAGCACAUCGACAUUGUGGCUGUGCAAGAGACCAUGCGUCGCGAUUUCGCGCUUCCUGAGCUUGACCGGCUGAGCUCUCACCUCUUUGCGUGGCACUGGCUCCCUUCUAGUGGGAGCGCGGGCCACUCGGGUGGCAUCCUCUUAGGUGUGAAGGAUGCCACCUUUGAGGUGGGCAGCAUGGAUAGGGGCGAAUUCUUCGUCAGCAUGGAGUUAUUCGAGAGGUCGCUCAACUUCAAGUGGGAGAUCAUCAUUGUCUAUGGGCCGGCCGACCAUAGUAGGUCGGCCUCCUUCCUGGAGGAGCUCCACCGGAAGAUCUCGGCAGCCUCCCUCCCCGUGGUAGUAGGUGGCGACUUCAACCUGCUGCCGUUGCGGAAGACAAGAGCAAUGGCAAUGUAUGCUUUGCCCGGAUGCAAUUGUUUAAUGACUUCAUUGCCGACCUCGCCCUCCGGGAGAUUGAUCGGAUUGGGGCCCGGUUUACCUGGACCAACCGACAAGCCUCCCCGACCCAGUCCGUCUUGGACAGGGUCCUAG